AACGAACGCUGGCGGCAGGCCUAACACAUGCAAGUCGAGCGGGGACUUCGGUCCUAGCGGCGGACGGGUGAGUAACGCGUGGGAACAUGCCCUUUGCUUCGGAAUAGCCCCUGGAAACGGGGAGUAAUACCGGAUGUGCCCUAUGGGGGAAAGAAUUUCGGCAAAGGAUCGGCCCGCGUUGGAUUAGGUAGUUGGUGGGGUAAUGGCCUACCAAGCCGACGAUCCAUAGCUGGUUUGAGAGGAUGAUCAGCCACACUGGGACUGAGACACGGCCCAGACUCCUACGGGAGGCAGCAGUGGGGAAUCUUAGACAAUGGGCGCAAGCCUGAUCUAGCCAUGCCGCGUGAGCGAUGAAGGCCUUAGGGUUGUAAAGCUCUUUCGUGGGGGGAAGAUAAUGACGGUACCCCAAGAAGAAGCCCCCGGCUAACUCCGUGCCAGCAGCCGCGGUAAU
rnacentral:rRNA from 1 species